rnacentral:rRNA from 1 species
AUUGAACGCUGGCGGAAUGCUUUACACAUGCAAGUCGAACGGCAGCACGGGGCAACCUGGUGGCGAGUGGCGAACGGGUGAGUAAUACAUCGGAACGUGCCCAAUCGUGGGGGAUAACGUAGCGAAAGUUACGCUAAUACCGCAUACGAUCUACGGAUGAAAGCGGGGGAUCGCAAGACCUCGCGCGAAUGGAGCGGCCGGUGGCAGAUUAGGUAGUUGGUGGGGUAAAGGCUCACCAAGCCAACGAUCUGUAGCUGGUCUGAGAGGACGACCAGCCACACUGGGACUGAGACACGGCCCAGACUCCUACGGGAGGCAGCAGUGGGGAAUUUUGGACAAUGGGCGCAAGCCUGAUCCAGCCAUUCCGCGUGCAGGAUGAAGGCCUUCGGGUUGUAAACUGCUUUUGUACGGAACGAAACGGUUCUCUCUAAUACAGGGGGCUAAUGACGGUACCGUAAGAAUAAGCACCGGCUAACUACGUGCCAGCAGCCGCAGUAAAAC